rnacentral:rRNA from 1 species
UACGAAGGGUGCAAGCGUUGUUCGGAUUUAUUGGGCGUAAAGCGCGCGCAGGCGGAUCGGUAAGUCAGAUGUGAAAUCUCGGGGCUUAACCCCGAAAUUGCGUCUGAAACUACCUGUCUUGAAUACUGGAGAGGGAAGGGGAAUUUCUCAUGUAGGGGUAAAAUCCGUAGAGAUGAGAAGGAACACCAGAGGCGAAGGCGCCUUCCUGGACAGUUAUUGACGCUGAGGCGCGAGAGCGUGGGGAGCAAACAGG